GCAUAUUCUUAAAAGAAGAGCCAAGAAACUAUUAUGAUAAAAACCAGUGGUAUGAUACAGAUGUCCUGCAGAAUCUAAUUAGAGAAGGAUAUAAAUGGAUUGGACAAAGAAGUCACACCAUGCCUGUGUGAAACAGAACUCUGUGCUCCUUACUCUUUGGUGUUCAUUGUGCUGUGGUGACUUCCUUUAGAAUCAAUCCACUUGUGAAACACCACUCGGCCCAGUCAAUAGAAAGAGGAAUAUACCUGGG
rnacentral:lncRNA from 1 species